AAGAAACCAACAGGGAUUGCCUCAGUAACGGCGAGUGAAGCGGCAACAGCUCAAAUUUGAAAGCUGGCCCCCCCGGGGGUCCGCGUUGUAAUUUGUAGAGGAUGAUUCGGCGAGGGCUCCCGCCUAAGUCCCCUGGAACGGGGCGUCAUAGAGGGUGAGAAUCCCGUAUGCGGUGGGCUGCCUUAGCCAUGUGAAUCUCCUUCGACGAGUCGAGUUGUUUGGGAAUGCAGCUCUAAAUGGGAGGUAAAUUUCUUCUAAAGCUAAAUACCGGCCAGAGACCGAUAGCGCACAAGUAGAGUGAUCGAAAGAUGAAAAGCACUUUGGAAAGAGAGUUAAAAAGUACGUGAAAUUGUUGAAAGGGAAGCGCUUGCAGCCAGACUUGUCCGCAGUUGCUCAGCCGGUCUCCUGACCGGCGCACUCUUCUGCGGCCAGGCCAGCAUCAGUUCGGGCGGUCGGAUAAAGGCCCCGGGAACGUAGCUCCUCUCGGGGAGUGUUAUAGCCCGGGGUGGAAUGCGGCCAGCCUGGACUGAGGAUCUCGCUUCGGCUAGGAUGCUGGCGUAAUGGCUGUAAGCGGCCCGUCUUGAAACACGGACCAAGGAGUCUAACAUCUAUGCGAGUGUUUGGGUGUCAAACCCAUGCGCGUAAUGAAAGUGAACGGAGGUGGGAACCCUCGCGGGUGCACCAUCGACCGAUCCUGAUGUCUUCGGAUGGAUUUGAGUAAGAGCAUAGCUGUUGGGACCCGAAAGAUGGUGAACUAUGCCUGAAUAGGGUGAAGCCAGAGGAAACUCUGGUGGAGGCUCGCAGCGGUUCUGACGUGCAAAUCGAUCGUCAAAUUUGGGUAUAGGGGCGAAAGACUAAUCGAACCAUCGACUACUAGGUGGUUAAGAGGUGGCUGAAAGUGCCCACCUAGUCCCCCCGUCCUCGGACGGGGGGGCGACAUCGCCAAAUUGCGGGGACUCCCUUAGAGCCUCUACUACCGCGGCCGGCCGAAAGGCGCGGUGCAGCACCGGGUUAAUUGCCUAGGGUACGGUAAAAAGGUAGAGGAUUGGGAAAUCCGCAGCCAAGCGCCUAAGUCCCGCGGGAUACGGCGAAGGUUCAGAGACUAGAUGGCGGUGGGUCCGGCCCGAGGGCCGGGCCUAAGGUAUAGUCCACCCCCCGCGGAGACGCGGGCGGAUCC
rnacentral:rRNA from 1 species